UGGGGAAUCUUGGACAAUGGGGGCAACCCUGAUCCAGCGAUGCCGCGUGGGUGAUGAAGGCCUUCGGGUUGUAAAGCCCUUUCGCCGGGGACGAUAGUGACGGUACCCGGAGAAGAAGCCUCGGCUAACUCCGUGCCAGCAGCCGCGGUAAGACGGAGGAGGCUAGCGUUGUUCGGAAUUACUGGGCGUAAAGCGCGCGCGGGCGGUCUCGCAAGUCAGGGGUGAAAGCCCGAGGCUCAACCUCGGAACGGCCUUUGCGACUGCGGGACUGGAGACCGGGAGAGGAGAGUGGAAUUCCCAGUGUAGAGGUGAAAUUCGUAGAUAUUGGGAAGAACACCAGUGGCGAAGGCGGCUCUCUGGCCCGGACCUGACGCUGAGGCGCGAAAGCGUGGGGAGCAAACAGGAUUAGAUACCCCGGUAGUCC
rnacentral:rRNA from 1 species